rnacentral:tRNA from 2 species
UCCUCGGUAGCUCAGUGGUAGAGCAUCCGACUGUUAAUCGGAUGGUCGUAGGUUCGAAUCCUACCCGGGGAGCCA